rnacentral:rRNA from 1 species
GCAAUGGGCCACAUCAGCGCCUGAUCCAGCCAUAUAGAAAGGGAGUGCCCCUUUUAGGGGUAUACUUUCUCAAGUAAAGUGAAAUAAUGAUACAACUUUACUACAAAUCCUGACCAAACUCGUGCCAGCAGUCGCGGUAAGGCGAGUAGGAUAAGCGUAAUUCAUUAUUACUAGGUGUAUAGCGUCUGUAGGCGGCGGACCCCGCGUAGGCGGGCAGCUAGAGUGUUUAAUAGGAAAGGGGAACUAAUUUAAGAGGGAUACAAUCUAAUGAAAAUAUUAUGACCGCCAUGCGAAGGCAUCUUUCUAUUAAACACUGACGCUAAGAGACUAAAGUGUGGGUAGCGAUAAGGAUU